rnacentral:rRNA from 1 species
ACGAACGCUGGCGGCAUGCCUAACACAUGCAAGUCGAACGGAGAUAUUUGGAAGCUUGCUUUUGGAUAUCUUAGUGGCGGACGGGCGAGUAACGCGUGAGCAACCUGGCCUUCAGAGUGGAACAACGUCUGGAAACGGGCGCUAAUACCGCAUAAUACAAGAGAGUCGCAUGGCUUUUUUGUCAAAGGAGAAAUCCGCUGAAGGAUGGGCUCGCGUCCGAUUAGCUAGAUGGUGUGGUAACGGCACACCAUGGCGACGAUCGGUAGCCGAACUGAGAGGUUGAUCGGCCGCAUUGGGACUGAGACACGGCCCAGACUCCUACGGGAGGCAGCAGUGGGGGAUAUUGGUCAAUGGGGGAAACCCUGAACCAGCAAUGCCGCGUGAGGGAAGAAGGUCUUCGGAUUGUAAACCUAAGUAGUCAGGGACGAAAGAAAUGACGGUACCUGAAGAGUAAGCUCCGGCUAACUACGUGCCAGCAGCCGCGGUAAUACGUAGGGAGCGAGCGUUGUCCGGAUUUACUGGGUGUAAAGGGUGCGUAGGCGGGAUGGCAAGUCAGAUGUGAAAUACCGGGGCUUAACUCCGGGGCUGCAUUUGAAACUGUCGUUCUUGAGUGAAGUAGAGGCAGGCGGAAUUCCUAGUGUAGCGGUGAAAUGCGUAGAUAUUAGGAGGAACACCAGUGGCGAAGGCGGCCUGCUGGGCUUUAACUGACGCUGAGGCACGAAAGCAUGGGGAGCAAACAGGAUUAGAUACCCUGGUAGUCCAUGCCGUAAACGAUGAUUGCUAGGUGUGGGGGGACUGACCCCCUCCGUGCCGGAGUAAACACAAUAAGCAAUCCACCUGGGGAGUACGACCGCAAGGUUGAAACUCAAAGGAAUUGACGGGGGCCCGCACAAGCAGUGGAGUAUGUGGUUUAAUUCGACGCAACGCGAAGAACCUUACCAGGUCUUGACAUCCAACUAACGAGGUAGAGAUACGUCAGGUGCCCUUCGGGGAAAGUUGAGACAGGUGGUGCAUGGUUGUCGUCAGCUCGUGUCGUGAGAUGUUGGGUUAAGUCCCGCAACGAGCGCAACCCUUGUGAUUAGUUGCUACGCAAGAGCACUCUAAUCAGACUGCCGUUGACAAAACGGAGGAAGGUGGGGACGACGUCAAAUCAUCAUGCCCCUUAUGACCUGGGCUACACACGUACUACAAUGGCUAUAACAAAGAGAAGCGAGACAGUGAUGUGGAGCAAAACUCAAAAAAAUAGUCUCAGUUCGGAUUGAAGGCUGAAAUUCGCCUUCAUGAAGCUGGAAUUGCUAGUAAUGGCAGGUCAGCAUACUGCCGUGAAUACGUUCCCGGGCCUUGUACACACCGCCCGUCACACCAUGGGAGCCGGUAAUACCCGAAGUCAGUAGCCUAACCGCAAGGAGGGCGCUGCCGAAGGUAGGAUUGGCGACUGGGGUG